CCACAUGCGCAAGUGGGCGUUGCAGUGUACGUUUUGUAACUCGCCAAUGUCCCAGUUUCUCUUCCUCAUUCCGCAGGGUAUAUAGUCCGUGUGAGAGACCGUCCUGCACAUAUUCUUCACGCUAUUCUUCAACGUUGGCUCUGUAACAUUGAGGCCUUCUACGAUGUUCAAGUACAGCUUCUUCUGUCUGUUCGUUUGCCUAAUUGUCCUAGUUGGCGCACAGAUAGGAGGGAAUGGUGGACUCCCAGACAUCGAAGAACAACAAGG